GAAUUGCAAAGGCGUAGCCAAUCCUCACUCUUUUUGACCCUGUUUGGUGCAACUUCUCGAGAGAAAAACGAUGACAAGGGGGAAACAAAAGAUCGAAGCGCAGAGAAAAAAUGCAGAGAAGAAUCAGAAAUCAAAAGGGUCUCAAUUCGAAGCUCGUGCUGUUGCUCUCAAAGUUAUAUGCCCCAUCUGUAAAGCGCAGUUAGCGAAUCAAAACCAGCUUGGUGAUCAUUACAGCUCCAAGCAUCCAAAGGAGAAGCCUCCAAGCAACUCUGAAUGAUCUGUUUGUGGUUUUGCAGAAGAAUUGGAUGUUAAGAUUUGUCAAAAUGUUUUCGAUUUAUAUUCAUCCAAUGCACUAAAUUUCUUGUCUUUAUGUUUAUAGGACCCGAUUACUCGUCUCUACAAGCGAAGAAAACGGUUAUGAGUGUGAAACUGGUGCAAAGUGUCUUGCCAGUUUUUGUCGUUCUCGUGUAAUUUUGCGUUGAUGUUUUGUCUUGUCGUGUGUCAUGUCUCGUGCUUCUUUUCUGUUAACGUUAGUGUCGUUGCGGAAACGGAAUAUAAGGAUAUAUAACCGAUUGUCAAGUUGUUGAGCAUAAAGAAAAUGUUAGUAAACAUAACGAUGUUCUUUUAGAUAA